rnacentral:rRNA from 1 species
GAUGAACGCUGGCGGCGUGCCUAAUACAUGCAAGUCGAGCGAACGGACGAGAAGCUUGCUUCUCUGAUGUUAGCGGCGGACGGGUGAGUAACACGUGGAUAACCUACCUAUAAGACUGGGAUAACUUCGGGAAACCGUAGCUAAUACCGGAUAAUAUUUUGAACCGCAUGGUUCAAAAGUGAAAGACGGUCUUGCUGUCACUUAUAGAUGGAUCCGCGCUGCAUUAGCUAGUUGGUAAGGUAACGGCUUACCAAGGCAACGAUGCAUAGCCGACCUGAGAGGGUGAUAGGCCACACUGGAACUGAGACACGGUCCAGACUACUAAGGGAGGCAGCAGUAGGGAAUCUUCCGCAAUGGGCGAAAGCCUGACGGAGCAACGCCGCGUGAGUGAUGAAGGUCUUCGGAUCGUAAAACUCUGUUAUUAGGGAAGAACAUAUGUGUAAGUAACUGUGCACAUCUUGACGGUACCUAAUCAGAAAGCCACGGCUAACUACGUG